CAUUGCCUACGGGGGGCAGCAGUGAGGGAUAUUGGUCAAUGGGGGAAACCCUGUACCAGCAACGCCGCGUGAGGGGAGACGGUUUUCGGAUUGUAAACCUCUGUCCUCUGUGAAGAUAAUGACGGUAGCAGAGGAGGAAGCUCCGGCUAACUACGUGCCAGCAGCCGCGGUAAUACGUAGGGAGCGAGCGUUGUCCGGAUUUACUGGGUGUAAAGGGUGCGUAGGCGGGGAAGC
rnacentral:rRNA from 1 species